AUAGUAUCACAACCACUGCCGUUGUUUAACCGACUCGUUGUCUCUGCUAUUAACAAGCAAGGCGAGCUUAUAUUAGCUUUACAUAUAAUGACUUCCUCGGAUUGGAUCAGUCGACUUGGGGUCAGCGAAGUGUGACCUGUGUUGAAGUGGUAGCGACGAGUUAUCGCCCUGACGAGAGUUGUGGACAUUGAUCACUGAGGAGACCCCGCCAUGGCUACAGCUGACGGGGGUGCAAGCUUCCUGACAAGAGUGUUUGACACCGCCCGUGGGAACUACAUCGCGUUAGCCGGGGUCGUCAGCGUGGGCAUUGGGAUAGCGUUGUUACGACAACUUGUCAGUGGGGGAGUAUGUCGCAGCAACGUCCGUCUCAAGGGCAAGUUCGCCAUCGUCACCGGCGCCAACACCGGCAUUGGGAAGGAGACGGCGAAGGACCUGGCUGUGAGAGGUGCCCGUGUGUUGCUGGCGUGUCGAGACCCCCUGAAAGGUGCGGCUGCUGCAGAUGAUAUAUUCAGGACGACUGGACAAAGGUUGAUGGUAAAGACAUUGGAUUUGGCGAAUUUAGACUCGGUCAGACAGUUCGCGAAGGAUAUCAACGAUGAGGAGCCGAAGCUUGAUAUACUCGUCAACAAUGCAGGUGUGAUGAUGUGCCCAAAGAUGCUGUCCAAGCAGGGCUAUGAACUUCAGUUUGCUACCAACCACCUGGGUCACUUCCUCCUCACCAACCUCCUGCUUGGGCUCAUCCAGAGGUCCGCACCCAGUCGCAUCGUCGUCGUGUCCUCGGGUAUAUAUAAAAGGGGCGACAUCAACUUUGACGACAUCAACAGUGAGAAGGAGUACAAUCCUUACGCUGCCUACGCUCAGAGUAAAGUAGCAAAUAUUCUCUUUUCAAAUGAGCUUGCCAAGAAACUUAAAGGGACAGGUGUGACGGUAAACUCUCUACACCCUGGCGUGAUCGCGAGUGACCUGACCAGGCACGUCGAGGACAGGGUCCCCGGCGUCCUGCGGUUCCUCAUCAAGCCCCUCUACCUCUUGGUGCAGGUGCUCGCCUUCAAGACAGUGAAGCAGGGCGCCCAGACUUCUAUCUGCUGCGCUGUGGCGGAGGAGCUGGAGGGAGUGACUGGGAAGUACUUCAGCGACUGUACACAGACGAAGUUGCUGCCUCACGCCACCGACGAGGACGCUGCCAGGAGAUUGUGGAGGUUGAGUGAGGAAAUGACCGGCCUCGUAACAGGAGCAGAUAACUCCGGGAAAAGUAGCAAAACGAAGUCCGACCGUGUGGAAUCGAAUUCUGAGGACAAGAAAACUGAGAGACAGGAAACUGUGACCAAGUCUGGCUCGAAACAGACGACUGUUUGAAUGUGUUAAUACAUAGUUCGGCUGCUGGGGAUGUUUUAGUGAACAUGUGGACCAUACCCGUGGCCACUGAGUAGGUUUUACAAAAGUGGUAAACCUAUGAAUAUGUCUU
rnacentral:misc_RNA from 1 species